rnacentral:lncRNA from 1 species
ACUCCAAAUGCAUGCUCAUUUGACAUCCCCUGAAGCGCUGCACCCGCACAGAACGAAUACUCAAAAUUCAUUCCUUCACACUUCAUGACAGAGGGCCGAAGAAACUCACUUCUGUAUGGCAUGAAGGACCGUCCGUCCCUGUUGCGUCCCUCUGUGCGCUGGAAGGCGCGGUCGGAUCUCUGGCAGCCUGCUGGCUGCUGCUCCCAACCGCGGGGAACUGCGCCGCGCCGCUUCUGAAGAGAGAAAGGAAGAAACGGUGGUGGGAACGGGCAGCCAAGGCUUGCAGAGAGGUUCCAGAUCGUGCCAGAGAGGGGAUAUCAGAGUGCUGAGACACUGAUUAUCACUAAGGGAAAAGACGGCCUGAGCCACGUCCGCGAUGUUAGCCCAGGCUGUCAGCAGUGAGCGCUGAAUGCAACCGGUUACUGAGGUCACCAAGGACCAGCAGGGCUCCCCCUGCUCCGUCCCUUCCCCUUGAGAGCAAGAGAAAGGAAGAACCAAGCAGAAGAAGCCCAGCCAUACCUUGCCACUCAGACGGCAGCAAUUGGAACCAUGAUCGUCUCUUUGCUGAGACAUGGCCGCUGAAAACUCAGAGGAAGCUGAAGUUCCCAGGCCUCUGUGCACAGGAACUUCCCCGGCCCUUGCAAAGAGCUGGCUUCCCUCUUCCUCCGACUGCCUCGAUCCCAAAAUCUCC